GUCUCUCUCUCCCUAUUCUUUGUUGUCAGGCGUGUGGGUUAUUCCCGGUCAUUGUCACGCUAGUGGAUGUGUUCUAUCAAAGAACAUAGUGUAGGUGGAAAGGAAUUGCAAGAAGAAGUACGCAGUCUGAAGAAACUGUCUACGCUGGAUGUGGCGCUGACGACAGCUUCCAGAAUCUACACGAGUUCAGUGCUGGUGUAACAAAUCCGGCCUCUGUGGAUACCCCCAAUCAUCACCAGAGGUCGCCAUCACCGGAAUACUGACUUUCACUCAUACACUCCAUUUCCAAGUCCUGUACCUGGCUCUGGUCACGAGCCCAGCUGCACCUCAUUACCUGAACUAUUUAAGAGGCCAUUCCACACACACACUUUGCGAAGUCUUGUUUUUGCCCUGGCUGACAUUUCUGAGCAUUCUAUUUUCUCUUGUUGGAUUAUUGCUGACCCUUUGCAUUGUUUCAUGGACUACUAUUUACUGCCCGCUGCCUACCUCGACCCCAUGCCUGCCUUACUUAUCUGAUUACUGUCUUAUCUCCAUUACCCUGUCUGUUUAUCGACCCUGUUUGUACGACUACGAUUGUUAUUAAUAAAAGCUGCAAAUGGAUCCUCAUUCUGUCGACCCCUCAUUACAGCUAGAUUUGCACAAAGGCUAUUACUGAAAGAUGAAGCAGUUCCCCCUUUAAAAGCAGAAGCUGCUGUUUAUG